UACGGAGGGUGCAAGCGCUAUCCGGAUUCACUGGGUUUAAAGGGUGCGUAGGAGGGCAGGUAAGUCAGUGGUGAAAUCUUCGAGCUUAACUCGGAAACUGCCGUUGAUACUAUCUGUCUUGAAUACCGUGGAGAUGAGCGGAAUAUGUCAUGUAGCGGUGAAAUGCUUAGAUAUGACAUAGAACACCAAUUGCGAAGGCAGCUCGUUACACGAAUAUUGACUCUGAGGCACGAAAGCGUGGGGAUCAAACAGG
rnacentral:rRNA from 1 species